AAGAGAGAGACAUGCGCGCAUAUCAAUAAGCGGAGGAAAAGAAACUAACAAGGAUUCCCCUAGUAACGGCGAGUGAAGCGGGAAGAGCUCAAAUUUGAAAUCUUAAAGGGUUUCCCUUUACGAAUUGUAGUUUAAAGAAGUGUUUUCUGUUGAGGUUUUGGUAAAAGUUCUUUGGAAUAGGACAUCAUAGGAGGGUGAGAAUCCCGUAUUUGACCAUUACUUUUCAGCUGUGUGAUACACUUUCAAAGAGUCGGAUUGUUUGGGAAUGCAGUCCAAAAUGGGUGGUAAAUUUCAUCUAAAGCUAAAUAUUGGCGAGAGACCGAUAGCGAACAAGUACCGUGAGGGAAAGAUGAAAAGAACUUUGAAAAGAGAGUUAAACAGUACGUGAAAUUGUCAAAAGGGAAGCGUUUGACACCAGUGUUGUUUUUCUGAAAAUCAAUUAAAGAACUGUUUAUGCUAAGUUGUUUAGACUUUAUCAGCUAACUGUUUAGUUUUGAGCUUUUCUUUAAUGCACUUUUCAGUUAACAAGUCAACAUCAAUUUCUUUUGCUGUAAAAAAGCUUGAGGAAGGUGGCUUGAGAUUCGUCUUAAGUGUUUAUAGCCUCUUGCCUAUGCAGUCGGAGAGAUUGAGGUCUGCAGCGUAGAUCCUUCGGGGCUAAAUGCAUUUGUGCUAAGUUAUAGCAUUUUAUAGGCAACUUGUUGACUAUGAUUUGUCUUGUAGCUUACUCGCUUAUGUUAUUUUACCUACGCUUAGGAUGUUGAGCGCAUGUCUCUCUCU
rnacentral:rRNA from 1 species